rnacentral:misc_RNA from 1 species
GUCUAUGGGUUCUCAAUCUGUGUGUGUUUACCUUUUACAUUUUAUUAUGUCUUUAGUUAGAAUAGCAGCUGUCAUUUGAGUUGUUUGUUUUUGGUUGAAUUCUUUUUGUCAUUCUAAUUAGCUAUUAUAAAUUUAAAAAUAUUCAGAAUACAUUGAAUCCUGCAUAUGUUGAUUCGGUUUGACAUUACAAAUCACUUCUUAGUGUAUAACAAGUGACAUUACCCAUCACUAGUCUGGAUAAGUAAGAAGUGUAAAGAGCUCAAUUUUCCCUUGAACUAUGUGAAAGGUCUAACUUUGCCCUCUGUUAAAAGUUUGGGGUCAUCUAUAUCCUCGCCAGUCGCCAUUUAGUUUUUGCUCGAAAUUUUGAACUUCUAACCAUAAGGGCAGAUCUCAAUCUUUUUCUCUAUUAUAUGAGUUGGACUCUAAUUAUCCGGAGUAGCAGAAAAACAUGCCAUGUUGCUAUGCUGUCAAAAAAAUGCAGCACCAAAUUUGCUUUACACACCAUCACUUGUGUAUUGUGAAGUAAAUUUAUGAAAAUGUAUGUUCGAAUAGAAGCUUUUUCUGCCAUUGCAGAUUGUCUGUUAGGUUUUUCUCUAAUCACUUAUGCCUUCAAAUAUUCUCAGCUGCAUUUACUGCACCAACCUGUGUUUAUAUUUGAGGUUAUAGCUUGAAUGUUAGGGAUGAGUGUUGUUUUGGAGCUCGACAUUGUCAGAGAUUGUUAAAUGAUCAUAUCAUGCCUUGAUUCCUUUCGUAACUGUGGUUUCUAUUUAGAUUGUAGUAAUCGAUAUAUUGCUUCAUGAUUUAGCUUGUUGCGACUUCUUUUGGAGUUUGGGAAUGUUAU